rnacentral:precursor_RNA from 15 species
GGCUGGUGUACUAUGUUGGGGUUGUCAGAUAGGUCGUGGUGAGUGCAAUGUUCUGUUGUCUCGAAUGAAAAUAUUGCACUUACCCCGGCUUAUUUGCAGCUACCUAUCUUUGAUCUGCAUGUU